rnacentral:lncRNA from 1 species
CACUAAAUUGCUAGAGACUAGCAAUAAGCUGGUUGGGGGGUGUGAUGAGAACACAAAAGUGCAAUCGUCAGACUAUUUUAAUUAGUAUUUUAGCUAAUCAUUAAAAAUAAAAUUAACUAAUUAAUGUUUUAUUUAGGCAAGCAUCCCACGUUCCAUGUCCAGGUUCAACCGAGUCCCAGCUGCAUCUGACUUCUCUUAAUUCCCACGGCC